UUUUGAUUGGAAUGUGAUACAAUGAAAUGGUUGUGAUGUUAUAGGCUGUCAUGAUUGUGAUGUGAUACAAUGGUUUGCUUGUGAUGUGAUGCCAUGAUAUGGUUGUGAUGUAAUACAUAGAUAUCAUUUUGAUGUGGUACGAUGUUAUUAUUGAUUUGUGAUUUGAUAGGAUAAUUUUAUUGUGAUGUUAUAACUUUGAUUUGAUACGAUGACAUGAUUGUGAUGUAAUAAGAUGUUAUAAUUUUGAUGAUAUACGAUGUAAUAAUUGUGAUAUGUUACAAUGAUAUGGUUGUGAUUUUAUAUGAUGAAAUGGUUGUGAUUAGAUACGAUUACAUUAUUGAUACGAUGCUAUGACGCACCUGUUAAUUUACAUGCUUCUAUCAUCUUCUGCGCAAACUUCCGGUGUCUGUCGUUGUCCUCUGGUAUAGACAUGUGUCCAUAGUAAGAGAAAAUAUAAUUGGCCAGGAGAACCCCGAUAUCAAACGCUGGGGGUCCCAUGUAGGCAAAUUCCAAAUCAAUCAUCUGGAUGUAUAACAUAAAUAUCAAAACGACGAUGUUAAGCCGUUUUGUUUUUCUUUAUUAGGCGUCCUUUUCUUACAUUGUUAAUGAUGUGGUAAUAGUAUACAAUAAAAAAAAAUGUCCACAGUU
rnacentral:sRNA from 1 species